UCUCUCAUCUCUAUUAUUCCUCAGUUAUUCUUCCCCCACUGACCUCGUGGUGUCGGUACUAAGCAACCGCAUUCCCGCAGUGCCUCACUACCCGAGGCCAGCCGGCCUCACUGCAGCCUGAGUGAGGGUCUGCCACAGUUUCUUCUUCCCUACAAUGUGCCCCUGGAUACCUGGGCCUGGGAAAAUGGAGCAAUGCUGCCUUGUUACCCUUCAUGCAAUUGGGUUUGCCCAGGUUGUGGAAUGGAGGAUCCCACCAGAUGUGGACAGUGUAAAGGAGACCAGAUGCCAUGGGGAACCCACUAUCUGACUUCCCAGGAGUGCACAUCACAUUUCUCAAUGCAGCGUGUGCUUUUGUUUUUGCUUUUUCUCCUUUUUCUCUUGUUCUGCCCAAGUCUGCUCUGCAGUUUCUCCCAUACCCCUUCACCUCUCACUUUUCAAAUAAACUUCUGGCACUGUUUUUGGUUUGUCUUGUGCAAUUCUUUGUUUGAGGCAAG
rnacentral:lncRNA from 1 species